AUUGCCUCUGGCCUUUUGGCUAAGAUCAAGUGUAGCAUCUGUUCUUAUCAGUUUAAUAUCUGAUACAUCCUCUAUCCGAGGACAAUAUAUUAAAUGGAUUUUUAGAGCUAGGAGUUGGAAUAGAAUCUUGCUCCAUCUACUCCAUACAUCGACCUCUUCUUGAAGUACUUCCAGGAACGGUGCACAAAAA
ensembl:snRNA U2 U2 spliceosomal RNA